rnacentral:rRNA from 1 species
GACAGAGGAUGCAAGCGUUAUCCGGAAUGAUUGGGCGUAAAGCGUCCGUAGGUGGCUUUCAAGUCCGCCGUCAAAUCCCAGGGCUCAACCCUGGACAGGCGGUGGAAACUACCAAGCUGGAGUACGGUAGGGGCAGAGGGAAUUUCCGGUGGAGCGGUGAAAUGCAUUGAGAUCGGAAAGAACACCAACAGCGAAAGCACUCUGCUGGGCCGACACUGACACUGAGAGACGAAAGCUAGGGGAGCAAAUGGG